UGAGGAAUAUUGCCCAAUGGACGCAAGUCUGAGGCAACAACGCCGCGUGGGCGAUGAAGGCCUUCGGGUUGUAAAGCCCUUUUCUGGGGGAAGAGGAAGGAUGGUACCUCAGGAAUAAGUCACGGCUAAUUACGUGCCAGCAGCCGCGGUAAUACGUAGGUGGCAAGCGUUAUCCGGAUUCACUGGGCGUAAAGCGCGUGCAGGCGGUUUCGUAAGUCGGACGUGAAAGCUCCUGGCUUAACUGGGAGAGGUCGUUCGAUACUGCGGGGCUUGAGGUCGGGAGAGGGACGUGGAAUUCCCGGUGUAGUGGUGGAAUGCGUAGAUAUCGGGAGGAACACCAGUGGCGAAGGCGACGUCCUGGCCCGCACCUGACGCUGAGACGCGAAAGCGUGGGUAGCGAACGG
rnacentral:rRNA from 1 species